CAAUAGCGUAUAUUAAAGUUGUUGCAGUUAAAAAGCUCGUAGUUGGAUUUCUGGUGGGAGCGAUCGGUCUGGCGCUUAGCGCGAGUACUUGCAUCGUCUCCGGCCAUCCUUGGGGAGAGUCUGUCUGGCAUUAAGUUGUCGGGCAGAGGAUCCUCAUCGUUUACUGUGAAAAAAUUAGAGUGUUCAAAGCAGGCUUAUGCCGUUGAAUAUAUUCGCAUGGAAUAAUAAGAUAGGACUUUGGUACUAUUUUGUUGGUUUGCGCACCAAAGUAAUGAUUAAUAGGGACAGUUGGGGGUAUUCGUAUUCCGUUGUCAGAGGUGAAAUUCUUGGAUUUACGGAAGACGAACUACUGCGAAAGCAUUUACCAAGGAUGUUUUCAUUAA
rnacentral:rRNA from 1 species